UACGUAGGGUGCGAGCGUUGUCCGGAAUUACUGGGCGUAAAGCGCACGUAGGCGGAUCUUUAAGUCAGGGGUGAAAUGCCAGGGCUCAACCUUGGAACUGCCUUUGAUACUGGAGAUCUUGAGUCCGGGAGAGGUGAGUGGAAUUGCGAGUGUAGAGGUGAAAUUCGUAGAUAUUCGCAAGAACACCAGUGGCGAAGGCGGCUCACUGGCCCGGAACUGACGCUGAGACGCGAAAGCGUGGGGAGCAAACAGG
rnacentral:rRNA from 1 species